rnacentral:ncRNA from 1 species
CGUGCUAAUAGUGCAAUGGCAUAAGCGUGCUUAACUGCGAGACCGACAAGUCGAGCAGGUACGAAAGUAGGACAUAGUGAUCCGGUGGUUCUGUAUGGAAGGGCCAUCGCUCAACGGAUAAAAGGUACUCUGGGGAUAACAGGCUGAUUCCUCCCAAGAGUUCAUAUCGACGGGGGAGUUUGGCACCUCGAUGUCGGCUCAUCACAUCCUGGGGCUGUAGCCGGUCCCAAGGGUAUGGCUGUUCGCCAUUUAAAGUGGUACGUGAGCUGGGUUUAAAACGUCGUGAGACAGUUUGGUCCCUAUCUGCCGUGGGCGUUGGAAAUUUGAAGGGGGCUGCUCCUAGUACGAGAGGACCGGAGUGGACGAACCUCUGGUGUACCGGUUGUCACGCCAGUGGCAUUGCCGGGUAGCUAAGUUCGGAAGAGAUAACCGCUGAAAGCAUCUAAGCGGGAAACUUGCCUUGAGAUGAGAUUUCCCGGAGCCUUGAGCUCCUUGAAGGGUCGUUCGAGACCAGGACGUUGAUAGGCUGGGUGUGGAAGUGCAGUAAUGCAUUAAGCUAACCAGUACUAAUUGCCCGUACGGCUUGUCCCU